GAUGAACGCUAGCUACAGGCUUAACACAUGCAAGUCGAGGGGUAACGAGAGGAAAGCUUGCUUUCCUUGUCGACGACCGGCGCACGGGUGAGUAACGCGUAUCCAACCUGCCCCCAACUAGGGAAUAACCUUGCGAAAGUAAGACUAAUACCCUAUAAUUUCCUCAGAUGUCAUCUGACGAGGAAUAAAGAUUUAUCGGUUGUGGAUGGGGAUGCGGCUGAUUAGCUUGUUGGCGGGGUAACGGCCCACCAAGGCAACGAUCAGUAGGGGUUAUGAGAGGAAGGUACCACACAGUGGAACUGAGACACGGUCCAAACUCCUACGGGAGGCAGCAGUGAGGAAUAUUGGUCAAUGGGCGGAAGCCUGAACCAGCCAAGUAGCGUGCAGGAUGACGGCCCUAUGGAUUGUAAACUGCUUUUAUACAGGAAUAAAGUUAGCCACGUGUGGUUAUUUGUAGGUACUGUAUGAAUAAGGACCGGCUAAUUCCGUGCCAGCCGCCGCCGUAA
rnacentral:rRNA from 1 species